CCUACGGGUGGCAGCAGUGAGGAAUAUUGGUCAAUGGUCGAGAGUCUGAACCAGCCAAGUAGCGUGAAGGAUGACUGCCCUAUGGGUUGUAAACUUCUUUUAUAAAGGAAUAAAACGAGGCACGUGUGCCUUUUUGCAUGUACUUUAUGAAUAAGGACCGGCUAACUCCGUGCCAGCAGCCGCGGUAAUACGGAGGAUCCGAGCGUUAUCCGGAUUUAUUGGGUUUAAAGGGAGCGUAGGUGGGUUGUUAAGUCAGUUGUGAAAGUUUGCGGCUCAACCGUAAAAUUGCGAUUGGUACUGGCAUGCUUGAGUGCAGUUGAGGUAGGCGGAAUUCGUGGUGUAGCGGUGAAAUGCUUAGAUAUCACGAAGAACCCCGAUUGCGAAGGCAGCUUACUAAACUGUGACUGACAUUGAUGCUCGAAGGUGUGGGUAUCGAACAGGAUUAGAUACCCUAGUAGUC
rnacentral:rRNA from 1 species